AUUGAACGCUGGCGGCAUGCCUUACACAUGCAAAUCGAACGGUAACGGGCCUUCGGGUGCCGACGAGUGGGGAACGGGUGGGUAAUACAUCGGAACGUGCCCGAUCGUGGGGGUUAACGAGGCGAAAGCUUUGCUUAUACCGCAUACGAUCUCCGGAUGAAAGCAGGGGACCGCGAGGGCGUGCGCGGACGGAGCGGCCGAUGGCUGAUUAGGUGGUUGGUGGGAUAAAGGCUUACCAAGCCGACGAUCUGUAGCUGGUCUGAGAGGAUGAUCAGCCACACUGGGACUGAGACACGGCCCAGACUCCUACGGGAGGCAGCAGUGGGGAAUUUUGGACAAUGGGCGCAAGCCUGAUCCAGCCAUGCCGCGUGCAGGAUGAAGGCCUUCGGGUUGUAAACUGAUUUUGUACGGAACGAAAAGCCUUCUUUUAAUACAGGAGGGUCAUGACGGUACCGUAAGAAUAAGCACCGGCUAACUACGUG
rnacentral:rRNA from 1 species